rnacentral:lncRNA from 1 species
AGCAAUUGAAUCCAUGACUCUUGAACUCCAAAUUGUUUCAUCUGCCAUAUAAUUAAAUCUGUUUCAUUGAAAUCAUGAGAAAAGCAAAGGGAGUCCAUCAACACAAAAAGAUUUGGCCGAACAACCGGCACUUUAUCAAAGCCCCGAGGGGGAAGCAAUUGAAGAUAUGUCUCUUUACUUAAAUCAAGUGAGAUGAUCCCAAAUUGGUUAAUGGUAAG